UACGUAGGCAGCAAGCGUUGUUCGGAAUUACUGGGCGUAAAGAGUGUGUAGGCGGUGUCGUAAGUUUGGCGUGAAAUCUCCCUGGCUUAACCGGGAGAGUGCAUUUGAGACUGUCAACCUGGAGGGCAGCAGAGGAGCGUGGAAUUCCGGGUGGAGUGGUGAAAUGCGUAGAGAUCCGGAGGAACACCAGAGGCGAAAGCGGCGCUCUGGGCUGCACCUGACGCUGAACUGCGAAAGCCAGGGGAGCGAACGGG
rnacentral:rRNA from 1 species